GGAUAUAAGGGUGAUCUGGCUGAGGUACCUAUCACCCUAUUGAUUGAUUUAACUGAUCCAGUUGGCUAAAUGGGCAUCUCUUUCCUCCCUUACUGCUUC
ensembl:misc_RNA Gm23548 predicted gene, 23548